rnacentral:misc_RNA from 1 species
CUCCCCGCAAGGUGUAAACUAUUUCUUCCAUCAUUCAACCACGGCAGACUAGAAAAAUAAGCGGAACAAAUGAGAAGCUUCGUUAGGUGAAUUGUCCAUUGUAGGACGUUAUUUAUAGAAUGGAAUAAUAGCUAGAAGGUGGUAUGCAUUCUACAGUUCUUUCUUUCUAAGUCCACUUUUUACCUGAAUAUGGGCUUACUGUCUGUUUGAGUUUUAUUUUUUUAGUUCUUCUGCCUGUAAAACUAAAUUGGAUAGAUAGUAAUAGAAAUCCCU